rnacentral:misc_RNA from 1 species
UAAUAAGUGUUUUAUGGCACUUUUUAAAUCCAUAUCCACCUUGUGUGCAAUGUCAGUCGAUCUUCUUCAUGGAGAUCGACCAAACAUCAACCUUUAUUUUUUAACUCUUUGUCUGAAAAAAUAUUAUGAAUAAACAAUUCAAAAUA